rnacentral:rRNA from 1 species
GAUGAACGCUGGCGGCGUGCUUAACACAUGCAAGUCGAGCGAAGCACUUAGGAAAGAUUCUUCGGAGGAUUUCCUAUUUGACUGAGCGGCGGACGGGUGAGUAACGCGUGGGUAACCUGCCUCAUACAGGGGGAUAACAGUUAGAAAUGACUGCUAAUACCGCAUAAGACCACAGCACCGCAUGGUGCAGGGGUAAAAACUCCGGUGGUAUGAGAUGGACCCGCGUCUGAUUAGUUAGUUGGUGGGGUAACGGCCUACCAAGGCGACGAUCAGUAGCCGACCUGAGAGGGUGACCGGCCACAUUGGGACUGAGACACGGCCCAAACCCCUACGGGAGGCAGCAGUGGGGAAUAUUGCACAAUGGGGGAAACCCUGAUGCAGCGACGCCGCGUGAGCGAAGAAGUAUUUCGGUAUGUAAAGCUCUAUCAGCAGGGAAGAAAAUGACGGU